rnacentral:lncRNA from 1 species
UUGUCAAAGUGUAGAUAUUAGAUUAGGAGAAUUUGUCAACUUUCCUUAAAUUAAGGGAUUUGAUAUUAGAUUAGCAGCAUUAGUUGAAAUUUCUUAGUCAACUUUCCCUUAGUCAACUUUGGACUUCUGAUUUUUCUUGAUUUACUUUUGCUUUCUUUUCUUUUGUAAUCUUCUAUAUAUUACCGUGUAUCAUAAAAUAUAAGAUAAGAGAGAAAGAAAUACAGAAGUUUUCCAUCCCUUAUUUGUGACAUGGUAUCAGAGCUCUAGGAAUUUUUUCUGAGAUUUCUUCUUUGUCUUCUUGCAGCCGUCAUUGCUGCUAUCCAAUUUU